rnacentral:rRNA from 1 species
GGUUUAAUUCGAAGCAACGCGAAGAACCUUACCAGGUCUUGACAUCCCGAUGCUAUUUCUAGAGAUGAAAGUUACUUCGGUACAUCGGUGACAGGUGGUGCAUGGUUGUCGUCAGCUCGUGUCGUGAGAUGUUGGGUUAAGUCCCGCAACGAGCGCAACCCCUAUUGUUAGUUGCCAUCAUUCAGUUGGGGACUCUAGCGAGACUGCCGGUAAUAAACCGGAGGAAGGUGGGAUGACGUCAAUCAUCAUGCCCCUUAUGACCUGGGCUACACACGUGCUACAAUGGUUGGUACAACGAGUUGCGAGUCGGUGACGGCGAGCUAAUCUCUUAAAGCCAAUCUCAGUUCGGAUUGUAGGCUGCAACUCGCCUACAUGAAGUCGGAAUCGCUAGUAAUCGCGGAUCAGCACGCCGCGGUGAAUACGUUCCCGGGCCUU